CCUACGGGGGGCAGCAGUGAGGAAUAUUGGUCAAUGGGCUUACGCCUGAACCAGCCAAGUCGCGUGAGGGAAGACUGCCCUAUGGGUUGUAAACCUCUUUUGUCAGGGAGCAACGCCGGCUACGUGUAGCCGGACUGAGAGUACCUGAAGAAAAAGCAUCGGCUAACUACGUGCCAGCAGCCGCGGUAAUACGUAGGUGGCAAGCGUUGUCCGGAAUUACUGGGUGUAAAGGGAGCGCAGGCGGGAAGCCAAGUCAGCUGUGAAAACUACGGGCUUAACUUGUAGACUGCAGUUGAAACUGGUUUUCUUGAGUGAAGUAGAGGUUGGCGGAAUGCCGAGUGUAGCGGUGAAAUGCGUAGAUAUUCGGAGGAACACCGGUGGCGAAGGCGGCCAACUGGGCUUUAACUGACGCUGAGGCUCGAAAGUGUGGGGAGCAAACAGGAUUAGAUACCCGAGUAGUC
rnacentral:rRNA from 1 species